AGACUGAUAAGUUAAUUUAAACUGAGGGGUUCAUGUCCCCUUAAUACACUUUUGUGUUUAGUCGA
rnacentral:tRNA from 1 species